GAUCUUGAGAAAGGUUAUUCUCUGCACCUGAGGGAAUCCCUACAGGGCUGACAGCUAAGAGCAGUGUGCCACCAGCCCUCCUAGUACCUGAGACAACAAGUCCUUCCUUGAUGGGCUAAUUUAGAAGGCUGGACCCUCAAGCCCCUCUCUCAAAAGGUUGUUACAUAAAGUCUGAUCCUACUUGGCCCUUUUGAGGAGACACGGGUUCGACCCCUAGUCUGGGAGGAUCCCACAUGCUGCGGAGCAAGUAGGCCCGUGAGCCACAAUUACUGAGCCUGGGCGUCUGGAGCCUGUGCUCCGCAACAAGAGAGGCCGCGAUAAUGAGAGGCCCGCGCACCACGAUGAAGAGUGGCCCCCACUUGCCGCAACUAGAGAAAGCCCUCGCACAGAAACGAAGACCCAACACAGCCAUAAGGCGCUCCACCUUCUAACAAUGUGGCUGAUUUGUUUGGAAUGAGCCUCCAUAUACACCCUUCUAAGAAACUGAAACAAGUUCUCAAGCAGUACUGAAAAUAAGGAGGAAAAUUUCUUUUCAAAAUUUCUAGAGUUAAAAUAAAACCUGUUCACCCUC